rnacentral:miRNA from 1 species
UAAUGCUGUCCUGCCACACUUU